rnacentral:rRNA from 1 species
AACAGGAUUAGAUACCCUGGUAGUCCACGCCGUAAACGAUGUCGACUUGGAGGUUGUUCCCUUGAGGAGUGGCUUCCGGAGCUAACGCGUUAAGUCGACCGCCUGGGGAGUACGGCCGCAAGGUUAAAACUCAAAUGAAUUGACGGGGGCCCGCACAAGCGGUGGAGCAUGUGGUUUAAUUCGAUGCAACGCGAAGAACCUUACCUACUCUUGACAUCCAGAGAACUUAGCAGAGAUGCUUUGGUGCCUUCGGGAACUCUGAGACAGGUGCAGCAUGGCUGUCGUCAGCUCGUGUUGUGAAAUGUUGGGUUAAGUCCCGCAACGAGCGCAACCCUUAUCCUUUGUUGCCAGCGAUUCGGUCGGGAACUCAAAGGAGACUGCCGGUGAUAAACCGGAGGAAGGUGGGGAUGACGUCAAGUCAUCAUGGCCCUUACGAGUAGGGCUACACACGUGCUACAAUGGCGCAUACAAAGAGAAGCGACCUCGCGAGAGCAAGCGGACCUCAUAAAGUGCAUCGUAGUCCGGAUCGGAGUCUGCAACUCGACUCCGUGAAGUCGGAAUCGCUAGUAAUCGUGGAUCAGAAUGCCACGGUGAAUACGUUCCCGGGCCUUGUACACACCGCCCGUCACACCAUGGGAGUGGGUUGCAAAAGAAGUAGGUAGCUUAACCUUCGGGAGGGCGCUUACCACUUUGUGAUUCAUGACUGGGGUGAAGUCGUAACAAGGUAACC